AUUAAUUUUUGUUGACCCUCCAGUCAUAAGCCUUAGCAUUGUGUAACUCUGAGUAGCAAUAGUAUUUGAGCUUGAAAAGGCAAAGGCAAGUUUACAGAGAGUGGUAGUUUUUGUAAUCGCAACUAAGGUGUAUAAAGUUUACUGGGUGCUGAUGUGAUGUGAGUGUUUCUGAGAUGCUGUGGAAUGGCAGUGCUGUGGUGGUGUGAGCAGGGCCCUCUGUGCCAGCCCUCCUAGGCCACCUCUGCAUAAUGGAUGAUUUCACAAGCGGUGUGCUUGAGAUCAGCACCUGUUGUCAUCGGGUCCGUUCUGCUUGAUUUUACCUUAGGAUGGUGCUCCAUGAGGAGAGUCUGCUAAUUAGAAAUGCAGCUCAUCUGGCAUGAAAGAGUUAUGUCUUUAGCAGAAAUGGGAGAAUUGUGCAGUGAUAAUUGAAGGCUUAGAUUGGUUUUGCUGGAGGGCAGGAAUCACAUAGGGUGUGGAGGGAUCAUUAGGUGCUUUGCCUCUGGAGAGAAGUCAGAAAUUGUGUUCAAGUAACAAGAAAAUUACACUGAUAUGGCCCAUGACGUUUGUACAUUCAUACAUACAACCGAGAAAAAACUUCAAGAAACUGAAAAUGUGACUCAUCACCACAGUCAUCUCAAGUGGAGUACCCAGAGCUCGGUGCUGUGGCUCAUAGCCAAAAUUAAAAAGGGGUAAACCCUGGGUUUGGGUCUCAGCUCUGCCACUGACCAGAGUUAAACUCUCUUACUCCCAGUUUCUUCUUGGGGGAAAAAAAAAAAAAAAGCUGAAAGAGACAUUUUUACAUAUACCUUUUAUACCUAAAAUGAUGUCAUUGUAAGAUGGAUGGUUGGUAAUAUAAUACCAAGAGUUCUUAAAGUCCAAAAAUCAAGCUUAUAAGGGCAGUACAGCAGGACUAAGGUUUUGUAAAUGUACUUAGUUUCCAAGUUAUAGUAAAUGGUAAGGAAGAAGAAAUUUGCAGUAGCUUACAAAAUAACAUUUCUCUUUGUAUUUACCAGUGCCACUGAUUCAUUAGAAAAGAAUAGAGUAGAAAACAAUAGAAAUAACAUUUGGGAAUUACAGAGAAUCCUAGAGAACAGUUAGUCCAGUCCUUGAACUUGAACAUUGGGAGGCUGAGCUUCCAUGCAUUUGAUGAGUAUCAGGCCUAGUGCUAACCACACCAAGUAUUCUUCUGUCACAUCUUGACUUAAACAAUACCGUUGGGUACCUAACUCAUUUCUGUUGUCCGGUUGCCCUUUGCUACCCACACCCAAUGCUGGCCACAAAAGAGUGUUUUGCCAAUGUCAGUAUGUAAACAUUUAGGGAUAUAGACGACAUAGUCACAUGUCUGUUUACAUAGUUAAUAAUUUAGCUGUAUAUACACAUUUAAACUCCUAUAAAUAGGUCAUCCAGCAAUUUAGAAUUAUUGCUUUUUGCCAUUCUUACAUUUCAGGGAACUGUCCUGAAUGGUGAGUGCCUCCCCAUUGCUGUCAUUGUCUCCACUCAGGCCCCCUUUCAGGUCACUUAAUGCCCUGCUCCUGAACAUACCUUCUUCACUGCCACCUGAGUUGUUUGAGGUGCGGCAGAUUUUGAAUGUAAGGAUAAUGCUGUCACAGGAAGUUUUGUCCCAGAACCCAGUAUCUCUUCACAUAAAAUUAGGACAGUUGCAUUUUUAAUUAGUUAGUCGUGUAUUUAUGAUCUUUGCAAUGUGUAGAUUAACUUUAUUGAUUCCUAAGUGAUUCUAAAGAGGCUGUUUGUGAGAUCCAGCAUUUCCGAUUUUGAGACUAUUCCCACAGGAAUAAUUACUGGAUCUGAUUGAAUUUCUUUACCUUUUAUUUUCCAACUUACUAUGUCAGAUGGCUUCCAUGUAAUGCAAAUGUGGAAUUCGUUGAGGUCAUUUAGGGUUAAUGUGUCUUCUACAAACAGUGCUUUGUUAUUCAAAAUAAAGUACCAGGCAGUAUGUGAGAUCUUGUAAAGAAGUCAGGAUUAGGGGAUUUCCCUUUUCUGAGAAGCAAUUUUGAAAGAAAAAGUCUACUUAUAUUCGGGUAUAUAUUGUAUAUGAAAGAAUUAGUGAUGAAAUCAUACUUGCAAAUAUUCACGUCAUUAAUGGUGACAGAGACUUGGAGUGUUAUAGGACGUCAGGGCCAAGGAAGUACGAUUUGGAAUUAUAUGAUAAGGUAUCAUGGAGGAUAGAGUCUGAGCAAUUUAGAAUUGUGGUGAUGAUGGAUUUCAGGAAUGAGGACAAUAAUGGACAAAAGAAUAAAAUGUGGAAGUGGGAAUCUGCAUGACUUACAUGGAAUAUUACUUAGGAAACUGGUCGGAGAGACCAGGGUUUUAUGUUGAUGGACAAUAGGAAAUAAAGAUUCAAGGCAGGAUAGGACUAGACUAUGAAAUGUCUUAAACAUGCUUAAGCCGGGUAAUAUGAGCAAUCAGAAAUCAUUGUAGGUUUAUGAACAGACAGAAAGAAGAUGGUGAAGUCAACAUUAGGCAGACUUUGGUUGUGGUGGGAUGCAAAAUGGAUUAGCAGGGGGAGAUAAUGGCAGUGAAGAGGCUCAUUGGAGAGCUUUUCAGCUGUUUAGAGGUGUUACCACAAGAAACUGGACUUCAAGUGGCAGCAGGAAAACAGCAAAGAGGAGAUGGAUAUGUUCCAUUUUGAUGAAAGAACCUACAGUAUCCGAUAGCAAGAAAGGGAAGGAUGAAAAUUACCCAAAAAUGAUUCUAAGAUUUCUAACCUGAAAUAGUAGAAUGAUAGUGCAAGUAAUAGAAGUAGGAAGACUUUUGAGGAGUCUUGUGUUAAAAUGAUACUGAAAAUAGGAGUAAUUGUUUUAGGGUAAUGUAGGUCAAGAAGAGCUUAAGAAAAUAUAGGAGAUACUACAGCAUGUUUGGAUGGUGACCGGAAUGAUCUAGUUAGAAGGAAAAGCCAAUAAUAUAAGAAAGACGAUUGCAGGAGCAAAGUCUUUUGAGGAAUAAGAAGAACAAAAUUGUUUGUCUCUCAGGGAAGUAUAAAUCAAGGUCAUCAUCUCACAUUAGAUGGAAGAAGCGGGUAUGGAAAUUUGAAGAGAGAGAGGAAAAUGUAAACAGACAUCUUGAAAGGAGAGGAUGAAUAAAUUAAUAAGGGAAAUGUGGUAGGAUCACCUACUGGUGCUGACAGCUUACUUGAGGUUAGUGGUUAUGCCUCUGAAGAGAGGCCGGCCAGCACAGUUCUGUGAUUUUCUCUAGUUUGAUGUAGGUGUGCAGUGUAGGUAGAGAGGUACCAGGGUGGGAUUUUUCCUGACAAGUCUGGUAGAAAGAGAGAGGGAGUCAUGGGGAUUGAGGAUUAUGUAAGAGAGCUUUAUAGUGAUUGACCAUGUUAUCUGCAUUGGAAAGGAGACAAAAUCAGUGGGUAAGUGAUGUGGAGAGUAGAGGGGAGGUUCUAGUGGGCUUGAAGAAUUAUUGGAGGGAGGUAGCUAAGGAAGUAAGUAG